rnacentral:rRNA from 1 species
AAUGAACGCUGGCGGCAGGCCUAACACAUGCAAGUCGAACGGAUCCUUCGGGAUUAGUGGCGGACGGGUGAGUAACGCGUGGGAACAUACCCAAAGGUACGGAAUAGCCUCGGGAAACUGGGAGUAAUACCGUAUGUGCUCGAAAGAGGAAAGAUUUAUCGCCUUUGGAUUGGCCCGCGUUGGAUUAGGUAGUUGGUGGGGUAAUGGCCUACCAAGCCGACGAUCCAUAGCUGGUUUGAGAGGAUGAUCAGCCACACUGGGACUGAGACACGGACCAGACUCCGACGGGAGGCAGCAGUGGGGAAUCUUAGACAAUGGUGGAAACCCUGAUCUAGCCAUGCCGCGUGAUCGGUGAAGGCCUUAGGGUUGUAAAGAUCUUGCAGGUGGGAAGAUAAUGACUGUACCACCAGAAGAAGCCCCGGCUAACUCCGUGCCAGCAGCCGCCGUAA